UACAGAGGGUGCAAGCGUUUGUUCGGAAUUAUUGGGGCGUAAAGAGCUCGUAGGCGGUUUGUUGCGUCGGCUGUGAAAUCCCGAGGCUCAACCUCGGGUCUGCAGUCGAUACGAGCAAACUAGAGUGUUGCAGGGGGAGACUGGAAUUCCUGGUGUAGCGGUGAAAUGCGUAGAUAUCGGGGAGGAACACCUGUGGCGAAGGCGGCCCCCUGGUUGGAUACUGACGCUGAUACGCGAAAGCGUGGGGAGCAAACAGG
rnacentral:rRNA from 1 species